GGAGAUGGGAAACGGACUCGAAAAUUAUAGCUUUGAGACUAUACAAGCGCUCACCAACAUGUUACAGACUGCUAAGGAGGAUGAUUAGCCUACCUGCACCCAGUACAUUACAAUGUUUAUUGAAUAAAUUUAAGAUGGGUGUCGGUAUAAAUAGACAAAUAUUUGACAUUUUAAAACAGAAAAGUAUACAAAAUGAGAAGAGAUCUGAUAACGAAUAUGUGUUGAUGUGGGAUGAAAUGUCAAUAAAGAAAAAUCUGCAUUACAAUGCAAAACUAGAUUUGAUACAAGGCUAUCAAGACCAUGCCGCUCAUGGGAGAUGUCCUGCAAUUGCAUCAUAUGCUCUAGUGUUUAUGAUCGCAGGGGUUAGAAAAAUGGUUAAGCAGCCAAUAGCAUUCCACCUCUCUGCGGGGUCUGUGACAGCAAACAGACUGGUGGUGCUCAUAAAGGAGAAACUUGUUUCUAAAGCAUGAUAUUGAAUGUCAAAGAAAUAUAACAUCGGAUGGCAAAACUGGAAUUGGAAUUGCAAAAUGGGCCCACAUAAAAAACUUUUAUGACUUGGAUAGUACUAAUCCAAACUUUGUCUUUGCACCGUGUCCAAGACAUGAGCAUUUGGACCCUAACUGUAAAGAAAAAUGAAAGUUAAACUCGCAGCACAAGUAUGGAGUCACUCUGUUGCUGCUGGAAUGUACGCAAAAAUAUCACAAGGAGAACUGCCUGCCGACGCUGCUGUUACAGCCAAUGUAAUAUCCGAUAUGGAUAAACUAUUCGAUUGUGUAAAUGCAUUCACACCCGACCUAAGGAGUGGCAAACCACUUUCAACUAAUUUAAAAAACAACACACAGCACCUUGUGCACUUUCAAAAAAUGAAAGAUUUUUUCAAUAAUUUAAAGUUUGUGGGGAGCAAAAGAGCACCGCCAUCGCAAGAGGGAUGGAUCUGGACUUUAAAUGGACUGGAGCGAGUUUGGAAAAAUUUAUCAAAAAAACAUAAAAAUAUGAAAAGUCUCGCAACAAGACGAUUCCAACAGGACCCGCUCGAAAAUUUGUUCGGGGAGGUUUUUCACACAUUGUAUGUGCUACGGUCAUUGUAAAAGGGGGCAUUCAUUAUCCUGCAUUGCGGGCUACCUUGCUGUCCUGCGAGACUACAUACAUGGGCCAUACGCAGGAUAGUGUGUGAGCAGUCUCCUGCCUGCGCGGCGGACUGCCAUGCAGGUAGUGAAUCGGCCGUUUAACAUUGGCUGUAGCGUAUUGACAUUUCUUAUUCAUUGUCAUUGACAGUGACAUUUUUAUUACAUUAUGUUAAUUAUAUCCUACUGUCUGCUAAAUCGGAGAAAUUGUGAUUAUUUAUGAAUGUUUAACGUUAUUAAUUUAAUAUCAAAUCACAUAAAGUGCAUGUGUUCCAAAAUUGAGGAAUUCGUAUUUUCUAUGUAACUAGUUGAAAGUUGCUCUUCUGUAAUAUUGUCCUUCCUAGAUUUGUACGUAGGUGCCUUCGAAUUCAGUUUUGCAAUCAAUGAAAGUACCCAUUGUCUAGUCUGUAUAAUAUUUGUUUUUACCCAAUCGUUCAGUUGAUAUUCAGUAAUUUUUUGGCCGUGUCACUUUUAAAUUGUGCUGUCAAAUUUUUCUGGCUUGCCGAUUUCCUCAAACAAUAUACUUCCUUGUCAAUACACUUAGAUUAUUAAUUUAUCGUUUGAAUAAGUUUAAAUAUCAAUUAUUUAAUCUCAACUUAGAUCGCAGGUAAUAAGUAUCAACACAGGACGUAUUUAGAUGCAGAUAGGUAUUUAUACCAGUAUUUAUUAACUACACAAAAUUGCGUUAAUUUCGCAAAUGUCAGCAAAAUCUCAGAAAUGCUGAUAUUUAAGGAUUUUUAAGAUUGCUCACAUAAUCUCAAAUAACAUUGAGUGCACGUAAUCCAAAUUUGUGUAAUGUGUCUCUCAUAUAUAAACAGUUAAAUAUCAAAAAUACACUGCUCUGCUGGUAAAAUUGUAAUUUGCUAAUUAUUAUAGUUAUUGCAAUCAAGGAAAAGUAAUCGUUAUCAAAAUUGCAAUAUUCUUUGUAACUCAAUUGAAAAAUUUAACUUUAGUUUUUCCCUUGUCACUUUUAAAUUAUGCUGUCUAAUUUUUUUGGCUUGCCGAUUUCCUCUGGCAAUAUACCUCCUUACC